rnacentral:lncRNA from 10 species
CCUGUGCCUGCGACAAGCCCUGGAUUUUAGUUGCGCUUGCGGUGGCCAUGCUGGUCUUUGUGACCUGUAUCUUGCGUGGACCUCCAAUCUUCUGUGACUAAGAAUGCCUAACCUCCUGGGAAUGCAGCUCAGUAGGUCUCAGCCUCGUUUUACCCAGCACCUGUUCAAGUUGGAGUCACUCUGGUUCAAACGCCUCUGACAACAGGACUAUUGGAGUACUGAUAGGAGUUUAUUUGCCUUAAUCACCUGGCCACCCUAUCCCUUUCUUAUUUCCUCCCUACUCCUCCGUCCUGGGAGACUGAAUUCAAAUAGACAAUGGCCAGAGAAUAUAUACAAAUAGAACACUAACCUACAACCUUCAACAACCAGUCCAGGAAGGCAACCUACUAUGUCCAGUAACCAGUCCAAGAAAUCAGAUUACUAUAUUUAGCAACCAGUCCAGGAAGCCAAGCAAUAACCCUUGUAGCAAUCUACCCCAAAUGGCCAGGACGUGAUUAAUAACUUACAGCUUCUGUAAGUUUUGUCAGGGCUUCCAACUCAAGGCCAGCUAGAGAGAGCCAAAUAUCUACCCACCCCUAAAUAAUUACAUAGGAUGCCCUGCUUUUAGUUAGCCCACCUGCAGCUUCUCCAUGCCAACAGCCUUGAAUUGGCAUACCUGAAGCUUUCCCUUUUUUCCACUCUAAAGCUUUCUCACUCCUCUGCCUGCCGUUGAGUCUCUGACAAAUGCAAGUGAUGAUGGCUGACUCCCUUGCUAUUG